UACGUAGGGGGCAAGCGUUGUCCGGAUUUAUUGGGCGUAAAGGGUCCGCAGGCGGUUUGGUAAGUUUGACGUGACAGUUCCUGGCUCAACUGGGAAAGUGCGUUGGAAACUGCCAGACUUGAGGGCUUCAGAGGGAUGCGGAAUUCCGGGUGGAGUGGUGAAAUGCGUAGAUAUCCGGAGGAACACCAAAGGCGAAGGCAGCAUCCUGGGAAGUCUCUGACGCUCAGGGACGAAAGCUAGGGGAG
rnacentral:rRNA from 1 species